CGCUUUCAACUUUUCUCAAUUGGCACUUACACCCCAAAAGUUCUAAUUUUUCAAUUAGACCUUAGAACUUAUGUUUUUGCAACAAUUCGAUCCAGUCAUCCAUCUCCAUCAAGAUCUAAGCACAUAUGACAGUCAUGUGAGAUAACUUUAGAUGAAAAAUACCAAAAAUAUGCUUGUUGGCUAGAUUACAAGAAGGUUAUGUGUUUUAGGGAGAAUGGAAAGAGAUCACAUGGUAAUCAUGUGACACUUUUGAUUCCUCUUUCUUUACUACUAAACAAUGGCUUUCCAUCCGGUUUCAAUCUAGUUAUGAGAGAGAAGAGAGGAGAGCAAAGGGAGAAGAGAGGGCUGAGAUAGCAAAGGGACAAGAGAGCAGG
rnacentral:lncRNA from 1 species